rnacentral:misc_RNA from 1 species
AUCGAACUCCUAAAAAAGAAAGAAUAUAAAAAGGUUUCAUUAGCGUUCCAUAAACAGUUGAAAUCCUAUUGUAAAAAAAAAAAGUGUUUAUUGCUUUCACAAAAGGUAGGGAAGGAUGCAGUAGAAGGUACCCAGUUCAAGAACAUUUUUGUCCAGUCCUAGUAAUAAGUAAGGUCUUAUCAAGUUGCUGGAGAAUGAGUGGAAGCAAUCCAGAAUCAAAGGAAAAAUUAGUUGGCAGAGAACUGUAUGUGACAUGCACGGAAUCAUGCUUUAGAAUAUCAGAAGAUGGAUCUGAAGAAAUUGAUGAGUUGAGAUCCCCACAAGAGGAAGCGGAUAUAAUAUUUUUUCUUCAUGCUGCUCAUGCAACCUCAUCAGAACAUAAGGCAGUGAAAACUGUUUCUGAUUACACAGAUAUUCUAAUUCUUUGUAUGGCUUUCAUUAGAGAAAUCCAGUAUCCAAUGUAUCAAGAAUGUGUGACACAAACCUGCAACACGUACACUGACAUAAAAAAAGUUGCACAGUGUCUUGGCAAGGAUGUCAGCAUGGAACUUCUUAGCUUUCACGCUAUUACAUGAUGCAGCACAAUAACUGAAUCUGCUGGACGUACAAAUGUAUUUGCCCUGAAGAUUAUCAAGACACAUCCAGAAUACCAAGAAGACCGUAUAUGGGAGCACAGAUGCAGGGGUUCGAAUCCUGGUAAUUCCACAAAAAGCUUUCUUGGCAUACAAAAUGUCUGCUAUAACAUUCUGACGAUGGCCGGAGAAUUAAUUAGUCGAAAUGUUGUGAAAAAAAUAAUACACAUAAUAAAGACGAAAAUAAUAGUUCGAAUA